rnacentral:rRNA from 1 species
CCUUUUUAUAUAAAAAUUGGAGAAUACGAGCUAUGGCUUAAAAACUAAAGAAUAUGGCGGUAUUUUAUUCAAUCAGGGUGGCAUGUAACUUAAUUUGAUAGCCCACGAUUUUAAAACUUGAUUUUGAAUAACAGUAUGUGUACUGCCGUAAAAUGUAAUUUUAAUAGAUUAUAUAAUUUAUAUAUAUAUAUAUAUAUAUAUAUAUAUAUAUAUUCAGGUCUAAGUGCAACUAAUAAUCAUGUGUUUAUGUGCUACAUUUAUGUAUUCAUUCAUUAAUAUUUUUAAAUAAUAAAAAGAAGAACUUGAUAGUAAUUAAAUUAAUUUGAUUUAAUGAAUUUGAAAUUGAAGU